AUGGCUCCCACAAGAAGGGUGGCAAGAAGAAGGGCCAUUCCGCCAUUAACAAGAUGGUGACCUGAAAAUACACCAUCAAUAUUCACAAGCACAUUCAAGAAGCAUAUUCAAGAAAGGGCUUCAAGAAGUGUGCCUCUCCAGCACUCAGAGAGAUUGAAGGAGAGGGGGACUUCAGAUGUGCACAUUCAUACCAGGUUCAACAAAGCUGUCUGGGCCAGAGGACUAAGGCACGUCCCAUACCGUCAUGCGCGGCUAUCCAGGAAACGUAAUGAGGAUGAAGUUUCAACAAACAAGCUCUAUAUUUGGUUACCUAUGUACCUGUUACCACAUUCAAAAAUCUGGUCAAUGUGGAUGAGAACUAA
rnacentral:lncRNA from 1 species